rnacentral:lncRNA from 1 species
GCCUUCUAAUUGUCGUGGUCGUGAAUAUUUUUAUAUAUAUAUCGUACAGUGGUGUUUAAGAUAAGAAGGGGGGAACAAUCUAUGUGCAUAUUACGUGUGCAAAUUCAUGAUGGCACAAGUCAAUCAAACACCCACAGAGACGCUCAGAGUACGUUACAUGUCUCUUUUCAUUAUCUCCUGAAUUAUAUUGAAUAACUUAGAUAACUAAUACCUUUUUUAUUUAUUUCAAAUUAAAGAUGGAAUGGCUGAGGGAAAAGGUCCUACAACAAGACCGAAUCAAAGCUAUCCAAGAGACGAUAGCAGGAUUUCUCCGCGACCAAGUGAUCAAUCCAAACGGUGAGUUUCACUUCAACGGCAACG